CGCUGACGAGCGGCGGACGGGUGAGUAAUGUAUGGGGAUCUGCCCGAUAGAGGGGGAUAACUACUGGAAACGGUAGCUAAUACCGCAUAAUCUCUCAGGAGCAAAGCAGGGGAACUUCGGUCCUUGCACUAUCGGAUGAACCCAUAUGGGAUUAGCUAGUUGGUGAGGUAAUGGCUCACCAAGGCGACGAUCCCUAGCUGGUCUGAGAGGAUGAUCAGCCACACUGGGACUGAGACACGGCCCAGACUCCUACGG
rnacentral:rRNA from 1 species